rnacentral:rRNA from 1 species
GUCGAGCGGGCGUAGCAAUACGUCAGCGGCAGACGGGUGAGUAACGCGUGGGAACGUACCUUUUGGUUCGGAACAACACAGGGAAACUUGUGCUAAUACCGGAUAAGCCCUUACGGGGAAAGAUUUAUCGCCGAAAGAUCGGCCCGCGUCUGAUUAGCUAGUUGGUGAGGUAAUGGCUCACCAAGGCGACGAUCAGUAGCUGGUCUGAGAGGAUGAUCAGCCACAUUGGGACUGAGACACGGCCCAAACUCCUACGGGAGGCAGCAGUGGGGAAUAUUGGACAAUGGGCGCAAGCCUGAUCCAGCCAUGCCGCGUGAGUGAUGAAGGCCCUAGGGUUGUAAAGCUCUUUUGUGCGGGAAGAUAAUGACGGUACCGCAAGAAUAAGCCCCGGCUAACUUCGUGCCAGCAGCCGCGGUAAUACGAAGGGGGCUAGCGUUGCUCGGAAUCACUGGGCGUAAAGGGUGCGUAGGCGGGUCUUUAAGUCAGGGGUGAAAUCCUGGAGCUCAACUCCAGAACUGCCUUUGAUACUGAGGAUCUUGAGUUCGGGAGAGGUGAGUGGAACUGCGAGUGUAGAGGUGAAAUUCGUAGAUAUUCGCAAGAACACCAGUGGCGAAGGCGGCUCACUGGCCCGAUACUGACGCUGAGGCACGAAAGCGUG